rnacentral:misc_RNA from 1 species
UUUUUAUCAGACAAAACAAUAAUCAAUUCCAAUAUCAAGAUAAUAAUUCAAGGUAACAAGGGAUGGCAAAAGCUCUAUAAUGAGGCAGUUGAUCAUCGAGCAUGAUCAUAACAGAUUACAUGUAAGUUCUUCAUUACAUUAAUACAAGGAUUGGAAGAAAAGCAAAAGGUAGGCUUAACCUGAAUUCAACCAGGAUUUAUGAACUUAUAAUGUCACUGUUUGCCGCCAAGAAGCUGUCCAAUAAUGAUUCACAAGCAUCUUCAAGUAGAUCCAAAACCUUCUCAAAACCCUGCGGUCCACCAUAGUAAGGAUCUGGGACUUCAGUCUCAUCAUGUUUCUUGCAGUAGGAGCACAUUAAUUUAACCUUCUCGUGUGCAUCAUCAGGUAGUGUCUCUUUAAAUUUCCAC